rnacentral:rRNA from 1 species
GGCACGAAGCGGUGGAGCAUGUGGUUUAAUUCGAUGAUACGCGAGGAACCUUACCUGGGCUCAAAUGUAUGUUGACGUAUUCUGAAAGGGAUACUUCUUCGGACAAUAUACAAGGUGCUGCAUGGUUGUCGUCAGCUCGUGCCGUGAGGUGUCGGGUUAAGUCCCAUAACGAGCGCAACCCCUAUCAUUAGUUGCCAUCAGGUCAAGCUGGGGACUCUAAUGAAACUGCCUACGCAAGUAGUGAGGAAGGUGGGGAUGACGUCAAAUCAGCACGGCCCUUACGUCCAGGGCUACACACGUGCUACAAUGGCCGGUACAAAGGGCAGCUACCUGGUGACAGGAUGCUAAUCUCAAAAGCCGGUCUCAGUUCGGAUCGGAGUCUGCAACCCGACUCCGUGAAGCUGGAUUCGCUAGUAAUCGCGCAUCAGCCAUGGCGCGGUGAAUACGUUCCCGGGCCUU